UACGUAGGGUGCAAGCGUUAAUCGGAAUUACUGGGCGUAAAGCGUGCGCAGGCGGUUAUUCAAGUCAGAUGUGAAAUCCCCGGGCUUAACCUGGGAACCGCAUUUGUGACUGCCUAGCUGGAGUACGGCAGAGGGGGAUGGAAUUCCGCGUGUAGCAGUGAAAUGCGUAGAUAUGCGGAGGAACACCGAUGGCGAAGGCAGUCCCCUGGGCCUGUACUGACGCUCAUGCACGAAAGCGUGGGGAGCAAACAGG
rnacentral:rRNA from 1 species